rnacentral:rRNA from 1 species
UAGAGUUUGAUCAUGGCUCAGAUUGAACGCUGGCGGCAGGCCUAACACAUGCAAGUCGAGCGGCAGCGGGAAAGUAGCUUGCUACUUUUGCCGGCGAGCGGCGGACGGGUGAGUAAUGCCUGGGGAUCUGCCCAGUCGAGGGGGAUAACAGUUGGAAACGACUGCUAAUACCGCAUACGCCCUACGGGGGAAAGGAGGGGACCUUCGGGCCUUUCGCGAUUGGAUGAACCCAGGUGGGAUUAGCUAGUUGGUGGGGUAAUGGCUCACCAAGGCGACGAUCCCUAGCUGGUCUGAGAGGAUGAUCAGCCACACUGGAACUGAGACACGGUCCAGACUCCUACGGGAGGCAGCAGUGGGGAAUAUUGCACAAUGGGGGAAACCCUGAUGCAGCCAUGCCGCGUGUGUGAAGAAGGCCUUCGGGUUGUAAAGCACUUUCAGCGAGGAGGAAAGGUUGGUCGCCUAAUAACGGCCAAGCUGUGACGUACUCGC